AAACGACAGAAAGCACACAAUGCGAAGAUGAGGAGCUGGAGCACUUGAGGUUGCUUGAACCACAUUGCUUUCCUUUGUCUUUGGUUCCAACAGAAUUCUGUCCAUCACCUCCUGCCUUGAAAGAUGGAUUUGUUCAAGAUGAAGGUACAAUGUUUCCUGUGGGGAAAAAUGUAGUGUACACUUGCAAUGAAGGAUACUCUCUUAUUGGAAACCCAGUGGCCAGAUGUGGAGAAGAUUUACGGUGGCUUGUUGGGGAAAUGCAUUGUCAGAAAAUUGCCUGUGUUCUACCUGUACUGAUGGAUGGCAUACAGAGUCACCCCCAAAAACCUUUCUACACAGUUGGUGAGAAGGUGACUGUUUCCUGUUCAGGUGGCAUGUCCUUAGAAGGUCCUUCAGCAUUUCUCUGUGGCUCCAGCCUUAAGUGGAGUCCUGAGAUGAAGAAUGCCCGCUGUGUACAAAAAGAAAAUCCGUUAACACAGGCAGUGCCUAAAUGUCAGCGCUGGGAGAAACUGCAGAAUUCAAGAUGUGUUUGUAAAAUGCCCUACGAAUGUGGACCUUCCUUGGAUGUAUGUGCUCAAGAUGAGAGAAGCAAAAGGAUACUGCCUCUGACAGUUUGCAAGAUGCAUGUUCUCCACUGUCAGGGUAGAAAUUACACCCUUACUGGUAGGGACAGCUGUACUCUGCCUGCCUCAGCUGAGAAAGCUUGUGGUGCCUGCCCACUGUGGGGAAAAUGUGAUGCUGAGAGCAGCAAAUGUGUCUGCCGAGAAGCAUCGGAGUGCGAGGAAGAAGGGUUUAGCAUUUGUGUGGAAGUGAACGGCAAGGAGCAGACGAUGUCUGAGUGUGAGGCGGGCGCUCUGAGAUGCAGAGGGCAGAGCAUCUCUGUCACCAGCAUAAGGCCUUGUGCUGCGGAAACCCAGUAGGCUCCUGGAGGCCCUGGUCAGCUUGCUUGGAAUCCAGCAGGCAGCUGGGGCUGAGUGAAAACAUCUGCACAACUGGGCACUGGACAGCUUUUCCUUCUUCUCCAGUGUCUACCUUCCUCCUCAACUCCCAGCCAUCUGUAUAAACACAAUCCUUUGUUCUCCCAAAUCUGAAUCGAAUUACUCUUUUGCCUCCUUUUUAAUGUCAGUAAGGAUAUGAGCCUUUGCACAGGCUGGCUGCGUGUUCUUGAAAUAGGUGUUACCUUCUCUGGGCCUUGGUUUUUUAAAAUCUGUAAAAUUAGAGGAUUGCACUAGAGAAACUUGAAUGCUCCAUUCAGGCCUAUCAUUUUAUUAAGUAUGAUUGACACAGCCCAUGGGCCAGAACACACUCUACAAAAUGACUAGGAUAACAGAAAGAACGUGAUCUCCUGAUUAGAGAGGGUGGUUUUCCUCAAUGGAACCAAAUAUAAAGAGGACUUGAACAAAAAUGACAGAUACAAACUAUUUCUAUCCUGAGUAGUAAUCUCACACUUCAUCCUAUAGAGUCAACCACCACAGAUAGGAAUUCCUUAUUCUUUUUUUAAUUUUUUUAAGACAGAGUCUCACUUUGUUGCCCAGGCUGGAGCGCAGUGGGGUGAUCUCAUCUCCCUGCAACCUCCGCCUCCUGGGUUCAAGCGAUUCUUGUGCCUCAGCUUCCCAAGCAGCUGGGAUUACAGGUGCCCGCCACCACGCCCAGCUAAUUUUUGCAUUUUUAGUAGAGAUGGGGUUUCACCAUGUUGGCCACGCUCGUCUCCAACUCCUGACCUCAGGUAAUCCGCCUGCCUUGGCCUCCCAAAGUGCUGGGAUUACAGACAUGAACCACCACGCCUGGCUGGAAUACUUACUCUUGUCGGGAGAUUGAACCACUAAAAUGUUAGAGCAGAAUUCAUUAUGCUGUGGUCACAGGGGUGUCUUGUCUGAGAACAAAUACAAUUCAGUCUUCUCUUUGGGGUUUUAGUAUGUGUCAAACAUAGGACUGGAAGUUUGCCCCUGUUCUUUUUUCUUUUGAAAGAACAUCAGUUCAUGCCUGAGGCAUGAGUGACUGUGCAUUUGAGAAUAGUUUUCCCUAUUCUGUGGAUACAGUCCCAGAGUUUUCAGGGAGUACACAGGUAGAUUAGUUUGAAGCAUUGACCUUUUAUUUAUUCCUUAUUUCUCUUUCAUCAAAACAAAACAGCAGCUGUGGGAGGAGAAAUGAGAGGGCUUAAAUGAAAUUUAAAAUAAGCUAUAUUAUACAAAUACUAUCUCUGUAUUGUUCUGACCCUGGUAAAUAUAUUUCAAAACUUCAGAUGACAAGGAUUAGAACACUCAUUAAAGAUGCUAUUCUUC
rnacentral:lncRNA from 1 species